GUGCACGCCCCCUUAGAGUAUUACUUUAAAGUAAUGGGAAAACUUUGCAGAUUCGACUCUCCUUGCCUACCCUGAAUAGAAAUAAAAGGCAAAAGGUACAUAAGUUCCAUACCAUAAAACAGUGUAGAUCCUGGAAAGGAGAACACCGGGGCAUCGUUAGGCCUUUUUGCUAUGUUAGAUCAAUAAAUGAGAAUAGCAAGUAGCAACUUCCUCAAAACUGCUUAUGUUGGGAAGGAACCUGUGUUUUAUGACAUCAAAUAAGGGUUUUCUGACAUGGAUUUGUGUUUACGCCUGAUCCAGAAAUUGCACUAUUUGGAUAUUCUGUUUCUUUGUCGGACCAUAAUGUUUCUGUACAAAGCACCAGUACUUAUGGAAUGAUUAUUGCUAAGAGUAUCAUUCUAAGGCUUUGGAAAUCGAAUACUACUCCUCAGUGCAAGACCUGGUUGACUUGUCUUACGGGAAUAUUACACAUGGAGAAAGUCAGGUAUGGAAAUAUGGAUAACCUUGAUAAAUUCUACAGUAUAUGGCAACCAUUUCUGGAUCAUCUUAACCAAUUAAAUGCUGACUCUGACUAGUAAUGUAGGGCAUAAUAUGCUGUCUGCUCUGCCAUCUACUUAAGUGCUUUUUUGUUUGUGCUUUGCCAUUGGAACUGCUUAUACGCCCUGGUUCUUUAGUUUUUUUCUUUGUAUAUUAUCAUUAUUAAUGGUUGAUGAUAUUAAUAAUUGUAAAUAGUCUAAAUAACUGUUCUCAUUACAGAUAUAUUCCAAAGAAAAGUAAAUGAUCUAUUAAGGAUUUUGACAUUAUUUAGUAAUACAAAGAGGGUAAAGUAUAAGCAUAGGAUAUAAUUCUGUUAGGGGAACAAUGUAGAGGAAGUUAAAUUAAGGCUUUUCAACCUAAGUUUAUACACAUUUGUGUAUAUUUUUUAUUGUACAGUGCGAGUGUUUUAUGUUUCUGAGAACAUCUAAAAUGUAGUUUUCACAGAGACGUGUUUUAUUUCAUAUUAACACAAUUGUCAGCACACUAAGGUUUUUUAAAAAAAUAUCCAGCCCUCACAUGGUGAUGCUAUUUACCAUCCAGUCCCCAAGCUGAAAUGAGUUUGACACCCCUGAUUUAAUACAUAUGCUAGUAUUUUGAAAAUGUAUGAAUACAUAGUGAAAUAUAUCCAAAAUAUCUUCUGUAUAAAGUUUAAACUCUGAUAUGUUGUUAAAAUGAAAUAAAAAUUUUGAACACAAGUUUUCUUAAUAUCUUAAUUUUAGACUUUUAAAAAAUAUAUUUAAUGAGCUUGUGUCCUACUUCAUGUGGUGCUAAGCAGACAGCUUGGUGAUGUCAAAGAACUGCGAGAGCAAUUCAAAGCAGAAUUAGUUCGUGUGAUUUCUCCAAUCGCUAUCGCGGUACUUUGAUGUCAUUCGCCUGGCGGUUUUUGUGGUGCCACCCUUCAGGGACAUGACUUAUGGCAACGUAACUGUCCCAGGUAGGUUAAUACUAUUACAAUUAUAUAAUUAAUUUCAUUUUCUAUUUAGGUUAAGCUUGUUUAAAAUGUUCAGUCUCAACGUUGGAAAUGUGUUUCUUAAAUAAAUACACCACGCGGGCUGCUCUUUCAUGGGAAAAACAGCACGCGCCUCCCGCCUUCAGCUGAACUGACUCAAGCGCACGCACAGCAGAACAGACCACUCGUUUCUCUCAACUUCGUCCCAGUUCAAUUUUACAACAACUUAUUUUAGUUGCUUAAACAGCAUUUAAACUUAAAAUUUAGGGUAGUGUCACAGAAACUCGUCUGACGGCAAUAACAGCACAGUUUUUUAACGUGCAAACAAAGUACUGACAGGAAUAUUCAUCUGAUAGGAAAUUUCGUUUUAUCAGGUUUUAUGCAACACAUUUGGACUGGUUGAUUGCAGCGUUACCAUGAUAACGAAGAGGACAGUAACUGGUAAAUCGUAGGGAUUUGUGUGUAACUAUGGUAAAUGAUUGUUGUCAAGCUGCUGUUGCUUCACGCUUCCGUCCAACAGAUGGCGCAAACGCACUUCGUUUUACAUAAAACUACAGAUGCAGAAGAAAAGUUCACAAUACGAGCAGCAAUGUUCAUCAUGAGAGAUCAGAUGGAUGUGAUGUGCUGUAAAUCAGUAGGAACUGAUCUGUCCAUGCUGGAUAUUGAUGAUUUGAUGACAGAAAUCUCUCAGCUGAAGAAAGAGGUGGCGUUACUGGAGUCAAAGCUCAGACAGAGAGAUGAACUCAACA